rnacentral:rRNA from 1 species
AUUGAACGCUGGCGGCAUGCCUUACACAUGCAAGUCGAACGGCAGCACGGGUCCUUGCUCCUGUUGGCGAGUGGCGAACGGGUGAGUAAUACAUCGGAACAUUUCCUGUGGUGGGGGAUAGCCCGGCGAAAGCCGGAUUAAUUCCGCAUACGAUCCACGGAUGAAAGCGGGGGGCCUUCGGGCCUCGCGCUAUAGGGUUGGCCGUUACCUGAUUAGCUAGUUGGUGGGGUAAAGGCCUACCAAGGCGACGAUCAGUAGCUGGUCGGAGAGGACGACCAGCCACACUGGGACUGAGACACGGCCCAGACUCCUACGGGAGGCAGCAGUGGGGAAUGUUGGACAAAGGGCGAAAGCAUGAUACAGCAAUGCCGCGUGUGUGAAGAAGGCCUUCGGGUUGUAAAGCACUUUUGUCCGGAAAGAAACCCUUGGCUCUAAUACAGUCGGGGGAUGACGGUACCGGAAGAAUAAGCACCGGCUAACUACGUG